UGUCAGAGUUCAGGGAAGUGGGAAGACAAAGGUUUCGCCAUUUUCCAAAGCUGAAGUGUUCCGCAGUUUCUAACUUUCAGGCGUUCCCCUGGACUUUUAUAGUGGACUUUUGGCUCUUGUGAACCUAGCUGGUCUCAUGUAAUACUUGAUGAUCACUGUUCUGCUCUAGAUACUGCAAAGAGCUGGCCAGGCGUUAACUGAGAUCGUCUAUCUGCAAGAUAUGCUCUCAAACUAUCAUCAGCUUCUGUGGCUCCCACUUCUGCAAGAUGAGGAGAAGGCCGCUUCCUACGGUGACUAACACAACUGAUGAGACGCUUCAUUUCUGUCACCCUGAAGCGUCCACUCGGUCCAGGGGCCGUUCCAAAGUUCGGAAACUUCCCUCACCACCAAUGGGUUCACAGCUACGUCUGGAAAGGUCUUUGUCAGCAGGUAAAGGAGUAUUCAGAGGAUCUUUGUCUGCUGCAGCAGGAGGAACUGGUUUUUGGUAACUGGUUUUGUAACAUGGGAAAGCUGGCUGCCCUCCUUGGGAAGCGCUGCCUUUAGGCCGCAUCUGCCUCCUUCCCCGCUGCGCUCACCUUGCCUCGACAAUAAAUCCAUCUCCCCUGGUUUUAAUUCCAGAAACGCCUCGUCCUCGAAAAUGACUCUACUCCGACAACGGGCAUGCCCCGUGCUGCCUCUGGCUAGACCUCACUUUUAAGGCAAAUAAGCUACUUUAAUUUGGGCUCCCAAGUGGAAAUAACAGAUAGUCAUCAAGAACAGAGGGCGCUUGCCUGGGCUUGCUCAAAAAGUCCCAGAGUACAAUGGGUGCAGCUGUCUCUAGGCUCCCUGCACACAUUAGCAGGAAGCUUAAUUCUGUCAAACAUUAACCCCAUCCUGGAGGCUUUUGUUUAGUGGACAAAAAUGAAUGAGGGUAGAAGGUAAAAGGAGAGAGAAAAGUGUAGCAUCCUCAAGGUUUGUGUUCAGUCUCCAGUCACACACACACACACACACACACACACACACACA